UUCAAGUUUGAUGAGCCAAGAUAUCAUGCCUCAUAUUAUCGCUCUUUAAUAUUAAAUUACCAUUCAUGGCCUUGGGAGGAAGAUCUAGAAAUACUUGAGACUCUUCAGCCUGAAGACCUUUCUCGGUUUGCACCUACAAUGCUCUCGAGAGCAUUCUUAGAGUGGAAUAUAGAGCGUGAUGAAGCAGUCAAUUGUUGAUCAUGUCGAAGAUGUUUUCUUUAAUGGUUCUCAUCCUAUAUGCAAGCUUGUGCUCCAAUCCAGCUCAUGACAAGCAGACUCGUCACACUUGACGAGGGUGUAAAUUACGUCUACUCAACUGAAGGCCUAAACCCAAAUGAUGAGAAUUGUGCAUUGCUUCACUAUAUUCAGAUCCAUCAAGAUGACAUUACUUUGAACAUACAACUUCAGCUUUUGGCAUUUAUUGCAAGGCAUGAAGCCUUCCACCAGCUCAGAACAGUUGAGCAACUUGGUUAUGUCUGUUUGCUCACACAUUGGUAAAACCAUUUAAUUUCUCCUUUCUUCUCCCCAGAUGUGUGUUCUGCUAAUUAUUCUAAGGGUUUCGUGCAGAUAUGACCUCGGUGUCUGCUGUGAAGGGUCCAAGGUACAUCGACACACGGGUCUUGAGCUUUCUUGAGUCUUGCGAAAGUAAACUCCUUAAGAUGAGUGAGGUUGAUUUCAAGGUGAGUUGUUUCUCCCGUGUUCCAUCAUGAAAAUCAUGUCAGCUUGUCAAAUAAUCUUUAAACCAUUACAUCGAACCUGUGGAAUUUCUGCCUUUGACAAAGCCAUUUAAACACACUAAUUGAAUUGAAGAUGGAGAAGGACAAGAAUUUGUGGGAAGAAUAUGAGCAUCACUGGGAAGAGAUAACUGAUAGAACUUUCCUAUUUGAUCUAAUAGAAACUAAGGUCGCAGCAUUAAGGAAGCUGGCAAAACAAGAAUUGAUAGCUUUCUUCAACAAGCACAUACGAAUUGGAGCGCCCAAGAGGAAGGUGCUUAGUGUACGAGUUUAUGGGAGCAAGCAUUCAUCAAAUUUUGAAGUGGAUAACAAUGAAGCAGUUGGACCAAACACAGUACGAAUAGAUGACAUUUUUAGCUUCAGGGCAUCGCAACCUCUUUACGGUUCACAUAGAAGAGGGUAUGAACAUAUGGAAGUUCACAACAAUUCUAAAUAAGCUAGAAUUGAGGAUCUUGGAUAAUGUACUCCUGAAACAUUUCUCCAAAAUUUAUACUACCAUGCCACACUUGCCCUGUGGCAUUUGUACCUUAUAGCGUUUUAGUGUUUGGUGUGUGUAAAUGACU